rnacentral:snRNA from 1 species
AGCUUUGCGCAGUGGCAGUAUCGUAGCCAAUGAGGUUUAUCCGAGGUGCGAUUAUUGCUAAUUGAAAAACUAAAAAUA